rnacentral:rRNA from 1 species
AGUGAACGCUGGCGGUAGGCCUAACACAUGCAAGUCGAACGGCAGCACAGUAAGAGCUUGCUCUUACGGGUGGCGAGUGGCGGACGGGUGAGGAAUACAUCGGAAUCUACUUUUUCGUGGGGGAUAACGUAGGGAAACUUACGCUAAUACCGCAUACGACCUACGGGUGAAAGCAGGGGAUCUUCGGACCUUGCGCGAUUGAAUGAGCCGAUGUCGGAUUAGCUAGUUGGCGGGGUAAAGGCCCACCAAGGCGACGAUCCGUAGCUGGUCUGAGAGGAUGAUCAGCCACACUGGAACGGAGACACGGUCCAGACUCCUACGGGAGGCAGCAGUGGGGAAUAUUGGACAAUGGGCGCAAGCCUUAUCCAGCCAUACCGCGUGGGUGAAGAAGGCCUUCGGGUUGUAAAGCCCUUCUGUUGGGAAAGAAAAGCAGCAGGUUAAUACCCCGCUGUUCUGACGGUACCCAAAGAAUAAGCACCGGCUAACUUCGUG